rnacentral:tRNA from 1 species
GCCUGGGUGGCUCAGUCGGUUGAGCAUCUGACUUCAGCUCAGGUCACGAUCUCGCCGUCUGUGAGUUCGAGCCCAGCGUCAGGCU